rnacentral:rRNA from 1 species
UGCGUAGGCGGUUAUUUAAGUCAGAUGUGAAAGCCCCGGGCUCAACCUGGGAACUGCAUUUGAAACUGGAUAACUAGAGUUUGGUAGAGGUGAGUAGAAUUCCUAGUGUAGCGGUGAAAUGCGUAGAUAUUAGGAGGAAUACCAGUGGCGAAGGCGGCUCACUGGACCAAAACUGACGCUGAGGUACGAAAGCGUGGGGAGCAAACAGGAUUAGAUACCCUGGUAGUCC